CGUAGGGUGCGAGCGUUAAUCGGAAUUACUGGGCGUAAAGCGUGCGCAGGCGGUUUUAGUAAGACAGGCGUGAAAUCCCCGGGCUCAACCUGGGAACUGCGCUUGUGACUGCUAAGCUAGAGUACGGCAGAGGGGGGUGGAAUUCCACGUGUAGCAGUGAAAUGCGUAGAGAUGUGGAGGAACACCAAUGGCGAAGGCAGCCCCCUGGGUCGAUACUGACGCUCAUGCACGAAAGCGUGGGUAGCAAACAGGAUUAGAUACCCUGGUAGUCCACGCCCUAAACGAUGUCAACUAGGUGUUGGGAGGGUAAAACCUUUUAGUACCGGAGCUAACGCGUGAAGUUGACCGCCUGGGGAGUACGGCCGCAAGGUUA
rnacentral:rRNA from 1 species